rnacentral:rRNA from 1 species
UGGGGAAUAUUGGACAAUGGGCGCAAGCCUGAUCCAGCCAUACCGCGUGGGUGAAGAAGGCCUUCGGGUUGUAAAGCCCUUUUGUUGGGAAAGAAAAGCAUUCGGUUAAUACCCGAUUGUUCUGACGGUACCCAAAGAAUAAGCACCGGCUAACUUCGUGCCAGCAGCCGCGGUAAUACGAAGGGUGCAAGCGUUACUCGGAAUUACUGGGCGUAAAGCGUGCGUAGGUGGUUGUUUAAGUCUGUCGUGAAAGCCCUGGGCUCAACCUGGGAAUUGCGAUGGAAACUGGGCGACUAGAGUGUGGCAGAGGGUAGUGGAAUUCCUGGUGUAGCAGUGAAAUGCGUAGAGAUCAGGAGGAACAUCCGUGGCGAAGGCGACUGCCUGGGCCAACACUGACACUGAGGCACGAAAGCGUGGGGAGCAAACAGGAUUAGAUACCCUGGUAGUCCACGCCCUAAACGAUGCGAACUGGAUGUUGGGUGCAAUUUGGCACGCAGUAUCGAAGCUAACGCGUUAAGUUCGCCGCCUGGGGAGUACGGUCGCAAGACUGAAACUUAAAUGAAUUGAC